rnacentral:tRNA from 1 species
ACUUUUAUAAUAUAAAUAAUUAUACUUGAUUUCCAAUCAAAAAAUCUAAAUCUUAGUGAAAGUA